GUGCCUGUAGUUCAGAGGAAGAACGCCGGACUCCGGAUCCGGAGGUCGCGGGUUCAAGUCCCGCCAGGCACGCCA
rnacentral:tRNA from 1 species